UACGUAGGGGGCAAGCGUUGUCCGGAUUUAUUGGGCGUAAAGAGCGUGUAGGCGGCCUGACAGGUCUGCUGUGAAAACUCGAGGCUCAACCUCGAGAUGUCAGCGGAUACUGCCAGGCUAGAGUCCGGAAGAGGCGAGUGGAACUCCUGGUGUAGCGGUGGAAUGCGCAGAUAUCAGGAAGAACACCAACGGCGAAGGCAGCUCGCUGGGACGGAAACUGACGCUA
rnacentral:rRNA from 1 species